rnacentral:rRNA from 1 species
UAGGUACGGAACAACAGUUGGAAACGACUGCUAAUACCGUAUGUGCCCUAUGGGGGAAAGAUUUAUCGCCUAAGGAUGGGCCCGCGUUGGAUUAGCUAGUUGGUGGGGUAAAGGCCUACCAAGGCGACGAUCCAUAGCUGGUCUGAGAGGAUGAUCAGCCACACUGGGACUGAGACACGGCCCAGACUCCUACGGGAGGCAGCAGUGGGGAAUAUUGGACAAUGGGCGCAAGCCUGAUCCAGCCAUGCCGCGUGAGUGAUGAAGGCCCUAGGGUUGUAAAGCUCUUUCAGCGAGGAGGAUAAUGACGUUACUCGCAGAAGAAGCCCCGGCUAACUUCGUGCCAGCAGCCGCGGUAAUACGAAGGGGGCUAGCGUUGUUCGGAAUCACUGGGCGUAAAGCGCACGUAGGCGGACUUUUAAGUCAGGGGUGAAAUCCCGGGGCUCAACCCCGGAACUGCCUUUGAUACUGGAAGUCUUGAGUCCGAGAGAGGUGAGUGGAACUCCGAGUGUAGAGGUGAAAUUCGUAGAUAUUCGGAAGAACACCAGUGGCGAAGGCGGCUCACUGGCUCGGUACUGACGCUGAGGUGCGAAAGCGUGG